rnacentral:lncRNA from 1 species
UCUCGGUCUCAAAAGAAGCCUUCAUCUGAGUCUUCUCGAGGACAAGCUGGUCAACAAUCUUCUUCCAAGCAACGGAAGGAUGAGGCAUGCUAGAAGAUGAAACCUCUAGCUCUCUCUGUCUCUUCGUCACUCGGUCUUCAAGUAGCUCAAUCAGUGCGUCUUUGUCCUUAGACUCCAAUAGCAACUCUUCAUGCUUCUUGCUCAAAGCAUGGAAACGCUUUUCCCACAUAUCUUUCUCUUGCUUCAUCUUCAUAA